AAAUGAGAUGGAGAAAACUCGCCGGUAUUCCUACGUCGUGCCAACUGCCGUUAAUCGACAUCGGCCGCCGCUUGUCGGUGACGGAGAAGAGAGUUGGCGACACCAAAUGGCUCAUCUCGAAGUCCACAAUACAAAUCUAAGACACGUUUACUUAAAAGGAAGUGGGUCAGAGCAGAUCUGAAGGCGAAGCUUCGGGAGAGAUCCACCCUUGAUGAUAAACUUUUCCUUAGUAGAGAAUCAACAAGGGCGACGACACUGGGAGCAAAUGGCAGAAGCGACUAUGAGACAAACUUGUCCUAGAUGGCAGUGACAGCGGGAAUAGGCAGCCGUGGUGACGGUGCAGUAACUUUAGGGUUUGAGAACCUUAGUUUGCUCUCAUCUGGUUUGUUGGAUCUAGCACAGACCCAAUGACUGGAAAUGUGCUAUGAAUGGGGAGAUAGGACGAAACCCUAGCUGUGUUGGGUUGUCAAGUUGGGCUUGUUAUUCGGGUUGCUUGCCCGUGUAAUGUAAUGUAGGCUUGAUUUGGUCUUGGUCUUUUUUGUAAUUUGAGCCUGAAUAUUGUAAUAGUGGGCCUUCGUAAUUUGGUUUGGGUCAAUUUAUAACCUG